rnacentral:rRNA from 1 species
UUUCCAGACUCCUACGGGAGGCAGCAGUGAGGAAUAUUGGUCAAUGGGCGGGAGCCUGAACCAGCCAAGUCGCGUGAGGGAAGACGGUCCUAUGGAUUGUAAACCUCUUUAGGCGGGGAGCAAUGCCGGGCACGCGUGCCCGGAGGGAGAGUACCCGCAGAAUAAGCCCCGGCUAACUACGUGCCAGCAGCCGCGGUAAUACGUAGGGGGCAAGCGUUGUUCGGAAUGACUGGGCGUAAAGGGUGUGUAGGCGGUGUAGCAAGUUAGAAGUGAAAUACCUAGAGCUUAACUCAGGUGCUGCUUCUAAAACUGCUAUACUUGAGUGCAGUAGAGGAAAGUGGAAUUCCUAGUGUAGCGGUGGAAUGCGUAGAUAUUAGGAGGAACAUCAGUGGCGAAGGCGACUUUCUGGACUGUAACUGACGCUGAGGCACGAAAGUGUGGGGAGCAAACAGGAUUAGAUACCCCGGUACG